rnacentral:rRNA from 1 species
GACGAACGCUGGCGGCGUGCUUAACACAUGCAAGUCGAACGGAAAGGCCCUGCUUUUGUGGGGUGCUCGAGUGGCGAACGGGUGAGUAACACGUGAGUAACCUGCCCUUGACUUUGGGAUAACUUCAGGAAACUGGGGCUAAUACCGGAUAGGAGCUCCUGCUGCAUGGUGGGGGUUGGAAAGUUUCGGCGGUUGGGGAUGGACUCGCGGCUUAUCAGCUUGUUGGUGGGGUAGUGGCUUACCGAGGCUUUGACGGGUAGCCGGCCUGAGAGGGUGACCGGCCACAUUGGGACUGAGGUACGGCCCAGACUCCUACGGGAGGCAGCAGUGGGGAAUAUUGCACAAUGGGCGGAAGCCUGAUGCAGCAACGCCGCGUGCGGGAUGACGGCCUUCGGGUUGUAAACCGCUUUCGCCUGUGACGAAGCGUGAGUGACGGUAAUGGGUAAAGAAGCACCGGCUAACUACGUG